CGGAUUGUUGAACUUGGACUCCCCUCAAAGGCCCUCGCUCUCCCAUGCACACCACAAAAUGUGUCACCUUCAACUGUAACCAUGGUAACAGGACUGUUUUCGGUUCUCCCCAUCUCCGUCGGGGGUCAUGUGAUCAUCCUCUGGUUAUUACACCUUUGCAGUUACUCCAAAAUUCAGCGGCACGUGUCCUGACGAAGACCAGAAGGCGGGCUCACAUUACACCAGUUUUAAAAUCUCUGCAUUGGCUCCCUGUGUGUUUCAGGAUAAAUUGUUUGCUUUUGCCCUAUGAACCUGAGAUCCUCCGGCACUCAUCUCCUAAUUAUUCCAAAAGUCAGGACACAAAGUCACGGGAUGGCAUCUUUCCAGCAUUAUGGCCACCGUCUAUGGAACGGAGGACCUCAGGGCUGGGGAGAAAGUUCAUGUUUUUAAGAGCAGGCUUAAGACCCACCUUUUUGAUUUGGCUUUACCUAAUAUUAUUUUAUUGAAGUAAUUUGUAUUUUACUUUUUAUCCUAUUAGUUUUGCAAGAUUUUAUUUAGUUCUAUUUAUUUAUUAUUUGUUUACUGUACAUAUAUAUAUAUAUUUUAUUUUUCUAUUAAUCUUCAUAUGUCUUACUUGUAUUUUAUUCUUUAUCUCAUAAUAUUAUGCUAGACCCACUCGACGUCCUUUUCAUCCGGUCUGCCCUAGAGGGAGGAGUCACCCACAUUUGCGGUCCUCUCCAAGGUUUCUCAUAGUCAUUCACAUUGACGUCCCACUGGGGUGAGUUUUUCCUUGCCCUUAUGUGGGCUCUGAACCGAGGAUGUCGUUGUGGCUUGUGCAGCCCUUUGAGACACUUGUGAUUUAGGGCUAUAUAAAUAAACAUUGAUUGAUUGAUUGAUCUCUACUCAUGGUUUUUACUACUUUACAAGUUUUGUUAUUUUUAUUUUCUAACGUUCCUCAGAUGAGCCAUCUGCCUCGGGGGUUAUCGGCCGUUCUUGUGGGGCCUUUUUGUGUCAGCGUCCUGGUGGCCAUGGUCUGAUGACCUCCUGGUACAGAUGGCUCCUGUGAUA